GCGCCCGUAGCCCAACGGCAGGAGGCAAUCGGUUUAGGUCCGAUCCAGUGCGAGUUCGAAUCUCGCCGGGCGCACCA
rnacentral:tRNA from 1 species